GCGUCUGUAGCCUAGUGGUAAAGGCAGCACUCUAGUAUGUGUCCCAGUUCUUCUGGGGUCAUGGGUUCGAAUCCCAUCAGACACA